CCGUCGCGCCUGUCGUCGCCCCCGCCGAGGCUUGGCCGGCGCCGCCGCCGCCCACCGCGCCGGUGCCCCCUCCGCCCCCGCCGUCCGCCAUGGCUGCACCCCGGGCCCGCGAAGGAGACUGAAUACGGAUUCCUCUCAAGGACAAAGGGCCUGGGUCGUGUAGAGGUGGCCGAGGGGCCGGAGAAGGAGGAGGCGGCGGCGGGGGAGAAGGAAAUGGUGGCGGCGAGGACGGCGGCAACGGCAGCUUCUGAGGCAGCAGAGGUGGCGGUAGAGGCGGCAGAAACCGCCCACCCCAUCCAUGGCGCUCUCCGGGUGACGACACCGCCGACCUCUGCAUUGUGGGGCAGGAGGUUUUCCGGCAGUCAUCUCCGGCUUUCUUAUAGGCAGAGGUCUGGCCGACGAAAACUACAUCUCCCGGCAGGCUCCGGACUCUCGUCUCCAGUUUGCGGGGCAGUAUGGGACUUGUAGGCUUAGGCCCUCGUGAUUGCUGCUGCCUGGGCUGGCCUUCCUUGCUCCGUUACUGCCCUCUCACUUUAAAUCAGCGCGUCCUCAAAGUGCCUGAUUAUAAGAAUCGUCUGCUAGGCUGAUUGAAAGUAUAGAUUCACAGAGGCAGAAAUGGAGGCACAGAAAGUUUGUUACCCUGAUCACGUAGCUAGAGGUGGAAGAGGAGGGUUUGAACAAAGGUUUCCUGAAUCCAAAUCUUGGCAAUGUUUAACCUAAGGUGUUCUACAUUCUGAGAACUAGCUGGCAUCAAAGUGCAGAGUGCCUUAUGAGAAUCAGAUGCUGGGGAACCUAGGUCUUCUGAUUUGUGCCCUUGACUCCAAAGCACCAGCCCUCCAGCUCAGGCAGCUGGGCGCCUGUGACAGGCUUGCUGGGCUGGGACCUGUGGAAGGAGGAGGAAGGGGUCCUGUCUGCUGUCUCCAAUGCUGUGUCCCCAAGGCUGGCACAGGCUGGCGCUUGACAUUGGGUUGGCUAAAAAGUUCAUUCGAUUUUAAGUAAAA